rnacentral:rRNA from 1 species
GCCAAACUUCUAGCCUCACAAACAAUCAUGAAACUUCAUUAAUUUAUACCCCAUUACAAAACAUUUUUCUAAUCAAGUAAAGGCGAUAAAAAAAUUUUUCAGAGCAAUAUCAAUAGUACCGUAAGGGAACGAUGAAAUAAAAAUGAAACAACUAUUAAGCACAAAAAAGUAAAGUUUUCUCCUUGUACCUUUUGCAUCAUGGUUUAACUAGUCCUUUUAGGCAAAAAGACUUUAAGUCUAACUCCCCGAACCUAGGCGAGCUACUCUAAGACAGCUUUUAGAGCCAACCCAUCUCUGUUGCAAAAGGGUGGGAAGAUCUUAUAGUAGUGGUGAUAUACCAAACGAGCCUAAUGAUAGCUGGUUGCUUUUUAAAAGGAUUUUAGUCCAACUUAAAGUUAUUUAAAUCCCAACAAAUUAAACUUUAAAGUAAUUCAAAUAAGGUUCAGCCUAUUUGAAAAAGGAUACAACCUCCUCCACUGGGUUACCACACACAAUAAAAAUUAAGUAGGCUUAAAAGCAGCCACCUCAAAAAGCGUCACAGCUUAAUCUAAAUAAUAAUAUAAUUCCUAAACACCCUCUCAACCCUUCAUCACCAAAAAGCAAUUCUAUACCCUUAUAGAAAAUUUUAUGUUAAAACUAGUAACAAGAAGUAGCCCUUCUCUUAAAUGCGCCUGUAUAUCAACACGGACCUUCCAUUGAUAAUUAGUGUCUAUAAACCCAUAGUAAAUUUUUUCCCGAAAACCCUACUGCUGUCAACAUUAACCUAACACAAGAGCAUUAAAAGAAAGAUUAAAAGAUAAAGAAGGAACUCGGCAAACCUUAGCUUCGCCUGUUUACCAAAAACAUCGCCUCCUGGCUAAUCAUAAGAGGUCAAGCCUGCCCAGUGACAUUGUUCAACGGCCGCGGUAUCCUAACCGUGCGAAGGUAGCGUAAUCACUUGUUCUUUAAAUGAGGACUAGUAUGAACGGCUUCACGAAAGCUAUGCUGUCUCCUUUAUCCAAUCAGUUAAACUAAUCUCCCCGUGAAGAAGCGGGGAUUAAUCUAUAAGACGAGAAGACCCUGUGGAGCUUUAAACACCUUAAAACAUUUGAUUUUUACCUUAUUACUUUCUGUAAACCUUCCCUAAGUCCAUCAUUUUGUUUUAAGUUUUAGGUUGGGGUGACCACGGAGAAUAACCUAACCUCCACGUAGAAAGAACCUUCAUUCUAAGCAAAAAGUUACAUCUUUAUGCAUCAAAAUAUUGACUUAAAUUGACCCAAUUAUUUGAUCAACGAACCAAGUUACCCUAGGGAUAACAGCGCAAUCCGCUUUAAGAGCUCCUAUCGACAAGCGGGCUUACGACCUCGAUGUUGGAUCAGGGCAUCCCAGUGGUGCAGCAGCUACUAAUGGUUCGUUUGUUCAACGAUUAAAGCCCUACGUGAUCUGAGUUCAGACCGGAGCAAUCCAGGUCAGUUUCUAUCUAUAAAGAGUUUUUUCUAGUACGAAAGGACCGAAAAAACAUGGCCAAUGCUCUUAACAUCACGCCAUCUUUUAAAAAUUUAUGUUUCAAACUUAAUUACCAAAAACCCUAGUAUCGCUUUUAAGAUCAAAACUUUAA